rnacentral:rRNA from 1 species
AGAGUUUGAUCCUGGCUCAGAACGAACGCUGGCGGCAGGCUUAACACAUGCAAGUUGAACGGGAUUUGUGUGGUGCUUGCACCAUAUAAUGAGAGUAGCGCACUGGUGAGUAACACGUGGGAACGUACCUUUUGGUGGGGGACAACAUCUGGAAACGGAUGCUAAUACCGCAUAAGACCUGAGGGUGAAAGAUUUAUCGCCGAAAGAACGGCCCGCGGAAGAUUAGGCAGUUGGUGGGGUAAAGGCCUACCAAACCUACGAUCUAUAGCUGGUCUGAGAGGACGAUCAGCCACACUGGAACUGAGACACGGUCCAGACUCCUACGGGAGGCAGCAGUGAGGAAUAUUGGGCAAUGGAGGCAACUCUGACCCAGCCAUGCCGCGUGAGUGAAGAAGGUUUUCGGAUUGUAAAGCUCUUUCGGAUGUGACGAUGAUGACGGUAGCAUCUAAAGAAGCCCCGGCUAACUUCGUGCCAGCAGCCGCGGUAAUACGAAGGGGGCGAGCGUUGUUCGGAAUUACUGGGCGUAAAGGGUGUGUAGGCGGUUAUGUAAGAUAGCGGUGAAAUCCCGGGGCUUAACCUCGGAAUAGCCGUUAUAACUAUGUAGCUAGAGUUAUGGAGAGGAUAGCGGAAUACCCAGUGUAGAGGUGAAAUUCGUAGAUAUUGGGUAGAACACCGGUGGCGAAGGCGGCUAUCUGGCCAUAUACUGACGCUGAGGCACGAAAGCAUGGGGAUCAAACAGGAUUAGAUACCCUGGUAGUCCAUGCUGUAAACGAUGAAUGCUGGUUGUCGGCUUUAGGGUCGGUGACGAAGUUAACGCGAUAAGCAUUCCGCCUGGGGAGUACGGUCGCAAGAUUAAAACUCAAAGGAAUUGACGGGGACCCGCACAAGCGGUGGAGCAUGUGGUUUAAUUCGAAGCAACGCGAAGAACCUUACCAGGUCUUGACAUCGAUCUAAAAGGGAUGGAGACAUCCUCAUAGCUAUAGAGAAGACAGGUGGUGCAUGGUUGUCGUCAGCUCGUGUCGUGAGAUGUUGGGUUAAGUCCCGCAACGAGCGCAACCCCUGCUAUCAGUUGCCAGCGAGUAAAGUUGGGCACUCUGAUAGGACUGCCGGUGACAAGCCGGAGGAAGGUGGGGAUGACGUCAAGUCAUCAUGGCUCUUACGAGUUGGGCUACACACGUGCUACAAUGGUAACUACAGAGGGGAGCGAGACCGCGAGGUUGAGCCAAUCUUAAAAAGUUAUCUCAGUUCGGAUUGUUCUCUGCAACUCGAGAACAUGAAGUUGGAAUCGCUAGUAAUCGCGGAUCAGCAUGCCGCGGUGAAUACGUUCCCGGGUCUUGUACACACCGCCCGUCACGCCAUGGGAGUUGGUUCUGCCUGACGGCGUUGAGGUAACCCGCAAGGGAGCCUGGCGACCACGGUAGGGUCAGCGACUGGGGCGAAGUCGUAACAAGGUAGCCGUAGGGGAACCUGCGGCUG